rnacentral:ncRNA from 1 species
GAGAUAGAGGCGCGGGACCUAUCAGUAAUUUCUGGAGGGACACUGUUGAAGGGAAUGAAAGGAGUACCGCCGAAGCACUGUUCCGGGUACGGGGCUGUGCUGGGAUGAAGGUGAAGAACCUUCAUACUGUCGCCAGGUAUUUGGUGGAGAGCUAUCGUGU